GGCGCCUUGGCAGAGUAGGAACCGGCGCGCUUCUGCGUAACGUCAGCGCGCGGGGUAAUUUACCUUCCCUGCGGGUCUGUCAAUGUGACUAAUUUCCACAGGGGUCAAAAAGCCUUUCUCCAGCAGUCCAUCUUGGAGCACUCUCUUACGAAGUAGACUGGAUUGGUUGUUUUGUUUCCAGUUCUAGAAGUAAAUACUCUUGGGGCGUCCCUGCCAGGGCAGCCUGAGAUGAGCAGGGGAAUAUACACCGUGUCAAUUAAAGGUAGUUUGCCAUGAACUACGAACUGUGGUUGGGUUUAAAUGACAGAAACCCGCUUGCCUUUAAUACACAUCACCUAACUCGUCCUGGAUACCAAUGCUUUCUCUAGAAAAAAGUUUAGAAGGCGAGUGAGUCAUUAUUAUUCCAAUUGUUCUCUGUCGUGUGAAGAUCCCUACUGAAACAUUUUCCCUGCAUUCCAGGUGUGAUUUAAACAGAGUAUACACGCGUGUGUGCUUAUCUGGCCUAGAAAGACAAUAUUUCAUUUGAGUGGUAUUUUGCAAUAAUUUUUAAAUCUGCUACCGAUUUUUAAGAGUGAAUCAGUGCUGUGGAGUUAAAUCUUCUCCAGGACUCGACAGAGGCAGCCGAUUGUUACUGGUUGCCUAACCCGGACUCACUUUGAGAAAAGUGUUGAAAGACACCAACGUGCCUAGGAGUCGGGAUGAUUCCCUAUCUGCAAAGUCCUCCCCUGUCUGAAGCAGGGAGUGGGGAGAUGAAGGCCAUUCAUUUCUUAGAGUCUCCAGUGGGGGCCUCUUGGGUGUUGGAGGAGGUAAACUUCUCCAAUCCGGGAACUAGGAUGCAGAGAGAAGUGAAAGUCAUCCAACCACCCAUUUUCCUCCCACGCAGGCUCAAGCACUGAGGACCUAACUAAUGAACUACCCGAAGUUAAAUUUUUUUACAAACACUUGAAGGAAGCACGCUCUUUCCUCCUUCUUGAGACCUUUAGGUAAAUAAAUGCCUGGAUUGGGGGCCAUUUGGUUUCCGCAGAACCCACGGAAAUCCUAAAAAUUAAGCACGCGAGAUAGAAGCGCUAGCAAGUCUCACCGAGGUCAGCCUCAAUUCGUGGUCCCUGGCCCCUGCCUGCGGGGGUGUCUGGCAGCGCCAGGACAGCCCUAGCCCCACAGUCACAUCCGCAUACCUGCACCGACAGACUCAGAGCGUAUGCGAACACACACACACACACACACACACACACCUCUUUUCCUCUCUCAUCUGUUGGUGCAUUUAUGACCUAAUGAAAGCAUAUCCUUUAGGGAAAAGACUGUCUAUAAAACGGGAAACACGAAGAACCCGUUCGGAUAUUCCCACUCCACCGCAGAGCCGAUUUUGAAGCGCUUUGUUAUUUGUGUGAUUGUUGUUGCUAUUGUUUAUUUUGUUUUGUUUUUAACACAAACACCUUGACUCCCUCUGUUGCUUCCAUAAUCACCCCGUUAUUUUUAUUGAAGGAUGAGAAUUGGUUCUAAGAGAUCUCCGCUCAUUCCCUGUGGAAGGGGAAAGGUCUCCAGCCUGAAGACAUAUCUUUAUUUGGGUGAAGGCAUUCUUUUGUGUGUGGUGAGGGGAUUUUACUGUCUAUCCUUUGUCAUCUUUGAAAAACCCUGGCACCAUAUGUUUCAACUUCUACAAACAGCUGGGGAAACUAAGGGCUCUUUCAACUCGCUUUCAUUUCCUUCCAGCUCCACUGUUUCCCCCAUCACCACCGUUUUGGGUCUCCAAAACACGGACCUAUCAUUUGGCCUGGUCACUAUCUGAAAUACCUCCCAGCUUCCAAUACAAUGGAGUACACUGUGGAAAUCACAUAAGCUCCCACCUGCUUUUGUGGGGGGGAAAUUGAUCUGUUGUGUUUGGAGCAGGACCUGUUUAUUAACAGAUGGAUAAAGCAGAGAUUAUUCCCCACUGUGGUUUUCUACAUUCCAUACCUUUAAAUAAGACAGCUUUUAAUAGUCCCUUUCAUUUUGCAAUUUGACCUUUGCCAUGAGAGUGGUUUAAGCUGUUUACUAGUAGGGAUUUUGCAACAGGAAAUACUGCAGGAGACAUAAACAUCAGUGUGAGCCACAAAGCUGUGUCCUUUGGCAGAGUGGAUUUGUUUAUUUGCAUAUUUCUUGAAGAACACAGUAGUUCUAACUUAACAUAUUCUCGGCAUCCCAAGGCUAUUUAAUGACCCAGAAAUGGAGUGGAUCAAUUGUUCAACUCAUGCUUGGUUGAUCCCUUGUAUUUCUGAAUUUUUGUCACUACCCUAAGUAGUGCUAUUUUUAAUCUCUUUGUUUUAAAAUUUAGGUUUAGAACAGGGCAUUUCCUGAAUAGGAUUUGCAUAAAAAAGAACUUUUACAUCCGAUUAGAGCCUUGGGAAAGGGUUAAAGUGUUUGAUCCACCUGAGAGAUUUGAGAGGAUGUGGGUGCAGGGAAAGUGCUCUGAGAAGCACUAGGUGAGGGUCUUGUCCUCUUUGUAAAAGAACUUGUCCAUUUUGAAACAUCUAUUAGAAGUGUCAAUUCUUUGCAGUGGUGUUCUAGCUUUGCCUUUCCGUGUGGAAAUUAGGGCUCAGCCUUGCAAGUCUGUCUUCCCUGUGACUUAACAGAGGAGCAAAUGGCUUUUAAAAAACUGGCCUGUGUCCUUGCUUGGGAAGAUUGAAAAAGACAGGAGGAGUGUGCAUUUUGACUCACCUAACAUUUUAUAUUUCUGCCUAAAAAUAUUAUUCUCUAGUGCACUUUGCACCUUAUGACCCAUUGAAGAAAACAAAGUUUAUUACAUGUUUUCAGUCUCAUUUUCUUAGAUGACAUCUAGAUCUUCUACGUUAAUAUGAUACAUUGUGUCUAAUUGUGUUUAAUAUCUACUAUCUUUCAUAUAUAGCCUGAUAAAAUUAAUUCAUAAUGAACAGACAUGGCAUUCUAAGGUUCAAAAAUCUAUAAAAUGUGUGUGAAUAGUCUUUCCAGUUACUUCCCCCAAUGUUAUUCAUUUCUUAUGCAUCCUAUGCAUAUCAUGCUUCCUAAUACAUGGAAAAGCAAAUAGGAAUAAACAUAUCUAUCAUUCCAAAAUAAUAUAGGUUAUUCUGGUUAUAUCUGUUGCUGCUGAUGAGGGGGAGCAUAAUAGAAGAGAUCCCCAGAAGUUUUGAUGAGGUUUACACCAUAUAAGAUCUGGACAAGGUGUAAGGUGACUCUUGAUUAUAAUUUAAAAUACCUGGGGGUACAUGCAAAACCAGUGAACCCUAAGGUUCCAAAUUGGAUUGUCUUUUGGCUGAGGCCAAAAGAAAAAGGGAGGAAAGAAAGAGAAGCAGAAAAAUUGGGGUUAUUAAAUUCUAUUUAGAAUUGUGGUAAGGUGGCUCAUUUUUUGGUGGACGGCCUCCUUGCAACUCAAAUUGGUUUUGCUUUUGUUUUUUGUUGAUAUUUGGUGCUAGAGAUUGAACCUAGGGCCUUGCACAUGUGCUCUACCAUUGAGCUAAAACCCCAACACACAACUCAAGUUGAAAAGCACUAAAUUGUUUUAUAGGGAAUAAAUCAUGAAUAAUU
rnacentral:lncRNA from 1 species